GACACACACACACAUCAGUAAUGUGUCUUACUCUCAUCAAUACUUCCAGCGCUGGAUCAAUAUUAAGUCAUAAUGAAUACUUUAUAGAGGAGAUGCUGGUGCGCGGCGGCGGCUGCGCAGUGCCUCCACCACACCACCAGCGCAGGAAUGAAGGUUUUGUAGAAGAGUAAACCAUUCUGUGGCUUGUCACUCUCAUUAGUGAUAUUGCCAUCACCAAUCCCAUUGACUUAAAUAUUACUGGGGAUAAAGGACUGCUGGCCAGUGCGUUGUGAUGCAAAUAUGGAUAAAUGGGGUGAACAUCCAAGACUUCCACUUAUGCAUGGGUGUGUUGCCAGAUAUGUGCCAAGGUGAAGAAUUCAACUUUCUACUUGACUGAAUGUGCCGAAGAACUUUCUAAUUGUACAAUUCUACUUUCAUUAGUGGUACUCCAUGGUUGUGCCUGUACUGCAGCUCCUCUCACCGAAGAGCAGUACAGUACACCUACAACACCAGCACCCAGUGAAACAAUUGUGCUCACUUACUUUUUCAACCACAAUGAUAUUUCAUGGGAUGUAUAAGCAAAGACAAGAGUUUAGAUCGAGACUCUUUGUAUUGUAGAUCAAAAGCUUUGGAUGAAGUCACUUGUAAUGCUAUGAAGCAGCUGUAGAAUAACAGUGGAUAUUCUAGAUUUCAUCUGAUGCAGAGUUAAAUGCAUGUGACUGUUUUCACAAAUGACUCACACUUAGAGAGGAAACUUCAGAUGCUGUAGGUCGGUCUUGAAUUAAAACAUAUUAAUGAUUAUACAUUGGUUUCAAAUAAUUUUCAAUAUAUAUAGUACAAAACAAAAUUUUGUGAAUAGUAAUAAUACCAUUAGUUGCAAAUAAUUUCCAAGACUAUUUUUUAUCCAACCAGAGAUGUUUUUAGGUUAUUAAAAAAAUAUAUAUGUAUAUAUACAAUAUUUAUAAAUUUUGUUACAGUUGGUUGCAGUACUUUACUGCAGAGGAUUAAGAGACUAGUCAUUUUAUUAUUAAUUUUCCUGAUGUAUGAACUAGGUUCCCAGCUGGGGCAUAUUGCCCACUCACAGUGCAAGGAGCAGAGCCAUGUGUAAGAGGUAACAUAUGCAUGGGCUUGUCACUUAUGCUAACUGAAUGAGACAAGAUAUAUCACUUGCAUACCUGGAGUUUACCUGGAGAGAGUUCCGGGGGUCAUCGCCCCCGCGGCCCGGUCUGUGACCAGGCAUAAGGGAGAAUUUUUGAGCAUCAUUUGAGUUUUAAAGUAAACCUGUGGGAAUAUGAUUAUAUAUACUGUAUUACAGAAAUAUUAUAUUUACAAAAAAGUGCUGAACCCACAUGGGUCACUCAGCACUGCACAGUACCCAUAAACUAGCUUAAAAAAAAAAACCACUAUCACUGCCUCUUCAGAGAGAAAAAAUAGUGUACUUAAUUUACAACCUGCAAAAUGCAUGCAAAAAAGAAGCCAUAUCAAUAUUCAGAUUGCAUUAAAUCUUUUAGAAAAGAAAGUAAUUUAGGCCAGUACAUGCCAGUUCAUGUACAAAAAAAGGAAUUUCAGUGUUCGGAAUGCAGUAAAUCGUUCAUUAAAAAUAGUAAUCUGGUUCGGCAUGUAAGAGUUCAUACUGGGGAGAAACCUUUUCAGUGUACAGAAUGUGGUAAAGCAUUCAGCCAGAAAAAUACUUUAUCAAGCCACUUGACUACUCACUCAAGAGAAAAGCUUUUUCAGUGUUCAAUAUGUCACAGAUCUUAUCGCCAUAAAAAUAACUUAGUAUUUCAUAUGAGAGUUCACACAGGAGAGAAGCCAUAUCUUUGCUCAGUAUGCCAUAAGUCUUAUCCUCAGAAAAAGGUUUUAGUAAAACAUAUGAGAAUCCACACGGGAGAAAAGCCAUACGAGUGUCUCGAAUGUGGUAGAUCAUUCACCCAAAAAAUCUCUCUAGAUCUUCAUCGAACUCGUCAUACAGGAGAGAAGCCACAUCAGUGUUCACAUUGUUUUAGAUCAUUUUCUCGAAAAACUAGUCUAGGAAGACAUAUGAAACUCCAUCCUGAAAAGAAUGAUCUUACACUUCACACCCCCUGGAUUCAGCGUUCCCCAAGCGAAUUGAAACUGUUGUCCCAGCAGACAGACAGCGAGGUAUUGAUGUCAAGUCCAUCUGUGGAGAUGAUUGAUUGCUCUGGGGAGGAAGCAAAAACCGAAUCUUAUGUUCCUGACUCAACAGUCUCUGAUGAUGAUGAUCCAUUGGAUUCCAAGAUGAUUCCUAAAGGUGCCAUAAAGGUAGAAAAUCAGGAAAAUUGUAUUUAUAUUAAGGAAGAAGUUUAAAGUAAUGAUAUUUUGACAGGCUGUCGGUUUUCACGUAUCUCUUCGCCUACAAUAUAUCUUUGAUGCCAUGUUCUCUCUCUAGGAACUUUUCUUCCUUGUUGAGUUUGCUCUGUAGAUUCACAUUCAGAUAUUGUAACAACUUUUAGCGGGUAAAGAUGAUAAUCACUGAAAUAAUAUGGAAGUUGAAAAACAAGGUAGUGGAACACCAUGUGGUGCUAUACUGUAGUGAAAAUAUGAAUUUGAAAAGGGCAAUCCAUUACUCAUCCUAACAAUAGUGCUUCCAUGAGUUAAGUACAGUUGGUCUACCUCUCACAAAUUUCAUAUUUGCCUCUAAAUUAUUUAUUAUUGAAUGUAGUCUGAGUGUAAAAAGUUAUUCUAGGCAGGAAAAAUACAAGUCUUAAAAUUCAUUUAAGCAUUUGUACAUCUGUUUCACCCCAAUAAUAAGACAGUGGUAAAAAUAAUGUAUGUUGCAUACAUGAAAACCUUAAUUCUGCACCCCUGUUUGCUCUUGUUACUAGCAGUGUGUGUAUGGAUGGAUGGCUUCAAAAAAUGUAGAAUGAAACCAAGGGGAUUGUCCUUGAAUAUCCACAUGUCAAUUUAUUGACAUCAAAAUGCUCAGGAAAACCUACUUUAAUCUGCAAAAGCACUCCAACAAUUUUUAUGACAAGUGAGAGCAUUUUCAAAUAGAUGAAAACUGCACAAUCUAGGAAAGGUAAUGCCAUUAUUGUACAACUCCAGGGCCCUGUGUCUCAGCGUACACAGUUGAAAAAGUGUAGACUGCAGCAUAAGCUGAUGCUGCAGUUGAGUAGUAGUGUUGAAGAUUGGAAGGGAAUCAGAAGCAUUUGUAAGUUGUCAUUUGGAAACUAAUAUCCGAAUUUCUUCCAUAAAAAUAAUAAAUUAGGUCUACCAUAUUUUACGGUGGACAAGACGCUAUGGUACUUCAGCCUCAAAGACAAUGGGUAAAUUUUUGAGACUUAUUCUGGGGAAAAAAUGGCAUCUUUAAUGCCGUAAAAUACAGUACAAAGCCCAGAUCUAAUUGAAAUUUUUCAGAGAGACCAGAGACCAGUACAUGUCGGCCAUCACUAAUCCAGCAUCAUUGGGACCUGUAGUGUGCCGGAUUAGUGAGUUUGCCAGAUUACAGAAUAGUUAGGUUAGAAUACACUUGAUUAACCUAUCAGUAGAGAGCUUUUCUGCUUUUUCCUCCACUGGCUUGCUGCUGUGGAUUUACAACUGGCUGCACAAUUUCCAAGUCAGUAUAAUGAUGAAAUUUGAAAUUAUGCUAGCUGAAAUUAGUGCCGGAUUACUGAUGGGACCGGAUAACUGAUUGCCAGAUUAGUGAUGACCUACCUGUAUAUGUACUAAAAUACACAAGCACAUUAAGUGUGAAGCUGUUCAGAAGUUGCAUUGUUAAGUUAUCACCAUGGAAGGCUUGAAUCUAAUCAGUUUUGACACUCAAAUUAUCACAUGAAAAGUAGUAUUUCAAUAUAUUACACAAAAUUCAGCAAAAUCUGUACCUACACAGCCUAAACCCAUGAAAUGUUCCUUACAUUUCAUACAAAGAAUCAGCACAAAGUUUAAGUCUUGCCACAAGAUGCAUUUUCCAGUUAUUGCACAGAAUACAACAAAAUUUGUACCUACACAGCCUAAAUCCAUGAAACAUUCCAUUUCAUAUGUUGCAUCUGCCACUGAAGACUGAUGUCAUUCACAAUUGUUAUAUUUUAAUCAGUGCUAAACCUGUAGUGGUCAUAUAUAAACAUGUAACAGUUUAUUACCUUUGUAAUUUGUUCAGCUAUCAAAAUUUUGGGAUCCAGUCCCUGGACCUAUCAUGUACCUCUGGAAUCUUUUGACUACCACCCAAAGGAUGGGUAUGGAGUGCAUAAUAAAGAUAUUAAACUAACUAAACUCAUAUAGUCCUGGUGCAAUGAGACAUUCAAAUGCAAUCAAAGCAAAGGAAAGACAAGUCUGGUUCUUGGAUCAAGAGCCCUUCAUCAGCAUCAAGGCAAAAUAAUGCAAUAAUUUAAAACAAUUUCAAGGUUAAAGGUGACAAAAUGGCAUCAACACACUAUUAAAUAUACCAACCUCCUCCUAAGUCAGAUACACAAGUGUUGAAAUUCUGAUACCAAUCAGAGGAUCCAGUCUCCAGUUUAUCGCACGGAAACCGAAUUUGGGAGCGGCCUAUGUAACACUGUGCAUAGGGCACCCACACAUACAAACACUCCCACAAAUCUUACCCAAGGAACAUUACACAAGUGUUGAAAAUUUGAAGUGUUCAUGAAGGCAUUCUUGAGUAAUAAAAAAAAAAUUAGAGAAAGUAAACACAAAAUGUUGCUCAAGACUUUUCUUAAAAAAUAGGAAUGCCUCCCACUGCUAAAUUUAAAAAAUGCCAUAAAAAGGCAAACUUUUAUUUUUUCCAGUUUUCUUAUUUACAUACUAUUUAAAAUUCUAUACAAUCCUGCAAGAUGGUUUUAAAAAAUAGUUUGAUAAAAUCGACCUAAAAAAUAGCAAAUUUGUACCUACACAACCUAAAAUUAAUAUAAAAAUACUUCUAAUUCAAAUACACGAGCAUUAAAGGUUUGAAGCCAAUCAGAAGAGGUAUUCUCUUGUUAUUAUUAUUAUAAUAAAAAAGAAGCGCUAAGCCAAUCCUCUUGUUAUUAUAUAGGAAACAAUUUUCUUAAUAAAAUUGAUAAAUUGAAAUUUACACAGCCGAAUGUGAGUGUGAAGUCAUAUUUUAAUAAAGCCUAUCAAUAGUAAAAGUUUGAAGCCAGUCAAAAAAGGCAUUCUUCAGAAUUUUUUUUAUUCCAAUUCCAAAUUUUUGAACUCGGUAAAAUUUCAGAUUGAACCUACUCGGACUAAACUUAAGGGGCAUUCUCCUCCACAGUCUAAGGAUAUUGGUGCAGUACAAAGAAUUCAAGAAUUCCAACAGGCCCUUAGACCUGAAAAAGAGCAAAAACACCAUUCAGUCUAUCAUUCUAUAUUGUGAGAAGAGCCACACAUCUGGGGUUUAGCCAACCAAAUUAACAGACUUGGAUGUUAUUACAGUACAGUGCUUGAUUUUAGCCCCCUGACCUUGGUGGUGGAGUUUAAAUAGUUUGUACCCUGGUGAGUAGGUGCAGUUCUUCAUCAGGUGUAAGUAAAUUUAUUUAGGCACAGGUACACAUAACUACAAUUAUCAUACAUAGUGUAAAUUACCUAGGAUAACCCAAUAAAAGUCAAGUGAUUGUGGUGUGCCAUUUUCCACAGACUGCUUCACUAAGAGCCCAGCAUCUUUUUUUAGUGUGAAUAAUGGGAAUUUCUCCCCAUUGCCUAAAUUUGAUGUGACUUCUGACCAAUGGAACACACUAUGAAUAUAAUUUGUGGAAUGUGAAUAAUUUACUUCAGAUUGUUUUGCUUAUUUUGUGAUGAUGUUUUCUGUAAUAUGCCAUAAAUUAGUGAUAAUAGCAAGUUAGUAACAAUAGCAGUUAGAGUGAUAAGGAUGUAUACAACUGUUUAUAGUGAAAGCAUUGAAAACAUAUAACUUGACUGGGACUAGCCUAUAAAUACUGUAAGUAUAUCUGUGAGUUCUUUACCUGCCGUUGUAGAUAUAACUAAAUGUAAACUUUCGUCAGCAGUUAUUUUCUCACCCUGCAGAAUAUAAACUUGAAUGUGAAAAACAAAAGAAUUUAGGUACAGUUUAUUCAGAGAUGUGUAAGUGUCCAAAUACUGUUCAGAAUGUCAUCCAUAAUGACCUAGAAAAAUAUACAGUACUAGCUAAACAUACCAAUUUCACAUAUUUUAAAAACUGCAUCCCAUCACCACUAAUGUGCUUACCCAGUUCCUCUACCAAUUAUGUACAGUCUUUCAACUACUCUCCGCAGAAUAGGUAUGGGAUACUCAGUAAAAUGAUUAAAUCUUCCUAAUCUGAAAUUCUUUACGAAUACUGGUAGAUUGCCACUUACAAAUAUGAAAAUAAUCUAUAUUAGAUUUAUUUGUAUGGUGUGAUACUUUUAAAUCUUAACUAGUAGCUGAAUCCUUCUAUUGCUAGUUUAUGUAUUUUUUGUUUAUAAUUAUGGUACUGUACAAGAUUUUUGUAUGAAUAUUUAGUCUGUUGUAAUAAGUAAGAUCACUGUUGCUAUGGAAGAUUUCUGAGACUUUGUAAGUUCAUCUGUGAAUUGUCUUAUUUGUAUAUAAUGUAUUAAUAAGUAAAGCUACUAAUGAAA